UACGUAGGGGGCAAGCGUUGUCCGGAAUUACUGGGCGUAAAGGGCGUGUAGGCGGUUUUUUAAGUCAGAUGUGAAAGUUCGGGGCUCAACCUCGGAAUUGCAUUUGAAACUGGAGAACUUGAGUACUGGAGAGGUAAGUGGAAUUCCUAGUGUAGCGGUGAAAUGCGUAGAUAUUAGGAGGAACACCAGUGGCGAAGGCGACUUACUGGACAGAUACUGACGCUGAGGCGCGAAAGCGUGGGGAG
rnacentral:rRNA from 1 species